rnacentral:misc_RNA from 1 species
AACCUAGCACACCUGCGGUGUGUACCUGCGGAGGGAUCAUUAAAAAAAUCCUUUUUGCCCGUGGACCUCGUCCAAGGCGCAAAAAAACCCACACUGUGUGCACCGUUAUCGUUUCUUUGGCAGGGGCUUGGGGUUUAUUUUUAAACCUCAACUUCUCCUCCGACUCUAUCCCAACAAUCCCAUCUCGGGCGCGCGGGACAGCUGGACAUGGGAAGCAGUUUACCCUGCCAAGUAAAACCU